CGGGCUUCGAUUCUAUCUACCUGUAGCAUUUUCUCUCUCUUUCCGGUUGGGCGUUUGCCUCUCUCUUUUUAGUUCUUUUUUUCUUCUCAAGUUCUUGUUUUUUUAGGGAGUUUAAUUUCUGAAGUUCUUGUUUGUUGUUUUGGGGAGAGAGAACAUGCCUGAUCAUCUGACUGUCGUCAGGAAGAAGAGCAAAUUCUAAUCUAACUAGUACGGAGUAAUUAAUAGAUUACACACACAGACACACACUUUUUUUCUUUUGCCUUUUUACAACUCUUUUUCAUCAUAAGCUAGUUACAACACGGUUUAAUCCAACAAAGUUCAAGAAUCACACACCAAGUAACACAGAGAGAACCAUGCAUGCAUAUGUGCUGCUAAAACCUUGGAUGACGUCACUCGGUCGGCUAGCUAUCAAGAUCUUGCAAAGGCACGGUCGGCUACGUAUAUGUUAUCUGAGCACCAGAGUCCGGAGCUAGGCUUCCAUGCGUGCGUGCGAGCACAAGUCUUGCCUUGGUCAGUUGGUCUAGAUUCCACAGAGAGAGGUCAAGAUAAUGUACGGAGUAAUUACUAGCUAGCAAGCAUCAGACCGAGGAUUGAAAGGUCGGAGUGACCGAUUAUCGAGUCAACGUUGGCA
rnacentral:lncRNA from 1 species